AGAGUUUGAUCAUGGCUCAGAGCGAACGCUGGCGGCAGGCCUAAUACAUGCAAGUCGAGCGCACCUUCGGGUGAGCGGCGGACGGGUGAGUAACGCGUGGGAACGUGCCCUUUGGUACGGAACAACUGAGGGAAACUUCAGCUAAUACCGUAUGUGCCCUUCGGGGGAAAGAUUUAUCGCCAUUGGAGCGGCCCGCGUUGGAUUAGGUAGUUGGUGAGGUAAAGGCUCACCAAGCCUACGAUCCAUAGCUGGUCUGAGAGGAUGAUCAGCCACACUGGGACUGAGACACGGCCCAGACUCCUACGGGAGGCAGCAGUAGGGAAUCUUGCGCAAUGGGCGAAAGCCUGACGCAGCCAUGCCGCGUGAAUGAUGAAGGUCUUAGGAUUGUAAAAUUCUUUCACCGGGGAAGAUAAUGACGGUACCCGGAGAAGAAGCCCCGGCUAACUUCGUGCCAGCAGCCGCGGUAAUACGAAGGGGGCUAGCGUUGCUCGGAAUUACUGGGCGUAAAGGGCGCGUAGGCGGAUAUCUAAGUUGGGGGUGAAAUCCCGGGGCUCAACCUCGGAAUUGCCUUCAAAACUGGAUAUCUUGAGUUCGGGAGAGGUGAGUGGAACUCCGAGUGUAGAGGUGAAAUUCGUAGAUAUUCGGAAGAACACCAGUGGCGAAGGCGACUCACUGGCCCGAUACUGACGCUGAGGCGCGAAAGCGUGGGGAGCAAACAGGAUUAGAUACCCUAGUAGUCC
rnacentral:rRNA from 1 species